GAGCCCGUAGCUCAGUUGGAUAGAGCGAGAGUUUCCUAAACUCUAGGUCGGUGGUUCGAUCCCACUCGGGCUCA
rnacentral:tRNA from 1 species